rnacentral:rRNA from 1 species
UACGUAGGGGGCAAGCGUUGUCCGGAUUUAUUGGGCGUAAAGAGCGUGUAGGCGGUCUGGUAGGUCCGUUGUGAAAACUCGAGGCUCAACCUCGAGACGCCGAUGGAAACCCUCAGACUAGAGUCCGGAAGAGGAGAGUGGAAUUCCUGGUGUAGCGGUGAAAUGCGCAGAUAUCAGGAAGAACACCGGUGGCGAAGGCGGGUCUCUGGGCCGAUAUUGACGCUGAGGAGCGAAAGCGUGGGGAGCGAACAGG